ACGGGUGCGUAACGCGUGGGAAUCUGCCCUUGGGUUCGGAAUAACAGUGAGAAAUUACUGCUAAUACCGGAUGAUGUCGAAAGACCAAAGAUUUAUCGCCCGAGGAUGAGCCCGCGUAGGAUUAGCUAGUUGGUGAGGUAAGAGCUCACCAAGGCGACGAUCCUUAGCUGGUCUGAGAGGAUGAUCAGCCACACUGGGACUGAGACACGGCCCAGACUCCUACGGGAGGCAGCAAUGGGGAAUAUUGGACAAUGGGCGAAAGCCUGAUCCAUCAAUGCCGCGUGAGUGAUGAAGGCCUUAGGGUUGUAAAGCUCUUUUACCCGGGAUGAUAAUGACAGUACCGGGAGAAUAAGCCCCGGCUAACUCCGUGCCAGCAGCCGCGGUAAUACGGAGGGGGCUAGCGUUAUUCGGAAUUACUGGGCGUAAAGCGCACGUAGGCGGCUUUGUAAGUCAGAGGUGAAAGCCUGGAGCUCAACUCCAGAACUGCCUUUGAGACUGCAUCGCUUGAAUCCAGGAGAGGUGAGUGGAAUUCCGAGUGUAGAGGUGAAAUUCGUAGA
rnacentral:rRNA from 1 species